GGUGGUUCUCAGGUGAUGCACCCCAGAAUCGGGUUCCCUCCUCUCUGGUUCCUGGAGUGUCAUCUGAGAACCACA
rfam:Myotis lucifugus cont2.38605, whole genome shotgun sequence.